UGCAUAUUCCAUAGCGGAGGAAAAGAAACCAACCGGGAUUGCCUUAGUAACGGCGAGUGAAGCGGCAAAAGCUCAAAUUUGAAAUCUGGUACCUUCGGUGCCCGAGUUGUAAUUUGGAGAGGGCAACUUUGGGGCCGUUCCUUGUCUAUGUUCCUUGGAACAGGACGUCAUAGAGGGUGAGAAUCCCGUGUGGCGAGGAGUGCGGUUCUUUGUAAAGUGCCUUCGAAGAGUCGAGUUGUUUGGGAAUGCAGCUCUAAGUGGGUGGUAAAUUCCAUCUAAAGCUAAAUAUUGGCGAGAGACCGAUAGCGAACAAGUACAGUGAUGGAAAGAUGAAAAGAACUUUGAAAAGAGAGUGAAAAAGUACGUGAAAUUGUUGAAAGGGAAGGGCAUUUGAUCAGACAUGGUGUUUUGUGCCCUCUGCUCCUUGUGGGUAGGGGAAUCUCGCAUUUCACUGGGCCAGCAUCAGUUUUGGUGGCAGGAUAAAUCCAUAGGAAUGUAGCUUGCCUCGGUAAGUAUUAUAGCCUGUGGGAAUACUGCCAGCUGGGACUGAGGACUGCGACGUAAGUCAAGGAUGCUGGCAUAAUGGUUAUAUGCCGCCCGUCUUGAAC
rnacentral:rRNA from 1 species